rfam:Myotis davidii contig101907, whole genome shotgun sequence.
CAUGCACCAGUGGGGUCCCUCGGCCUGGACUGUGGGAUCGGCCAAAACCAGCUCUCCAACAUGCCCAAGGGGUCCCGGAUUGCGAGAGGGCACAGGCCAGGCCGAGGGACCCCACCGGUGCAUG